UACGUAGGUGGCAAGCGUUGUCCGGAUUUACUGGGCGUAAAGAGCGCGCAGGCGGUCGUUCAAGUCGCGUGUGAAAGCCCCCGGCUCAACUGGGGAGGGUCACGCGAUACUGAUCGACUCGAAGGCAGGAGAGGGAAGUGGAAUUCCCGGUGUAGUGGUGAAAUGCGUAGAUAUCGGGAGGAACACCAGUGGCGAAGGCGGCAUCCUGGACCACGACUGACGCUGAGGAGCGAAAGCCAGGGGAGCAAACGGG
rnacentral:rRNA from 1 species